rnacentral:misc_RNA from 1 species
GAUGAAGAACGUAGCGAAAUGCGAUAAGUAGUGUGAAUUGCAGAAUUCAGUGAAUCAUCGAAUCUUUGAACGCACAUUGCGCCUCCUGUAUUCCGGGAGGCAUGCCUGUUCGAGCGUCAUUAAAAUCACUCAAGCUUAGGUUUACCUAUUGCUUGGUCUUGGAGAUGGAAGCCAAUUUAUUGGAAUCCUCUUCGAAAUUCAAUGGCGAAGACCCUUGCUCUCCCAAGUGUAGUAAUAACUUAUGUCACUGAAGGAAGCGAGAAAUCUUCUGCCGUAACCCCCAUAUUUUCUAUGAUUGACCUCGGAUCAGGUAGGGAUACCCGCUGAACUUAAGCAUAUCAAUAAGCGGAGGA